UACGGGGGAGCAAGCGUUGUUCGGAUUUACUGGGCGUAAAGGGCGCGUAGGCGGCCUCUGCAAGUCGACUGUGAAAUCUCCGGGCUUAACCCGGAACGGUCAGCCGAUACUGCAGGGCUAGAGUGCAGAAGGGCAACUGGAAUUCUCGGUGUAGCGGUGAAAUGCGUAGAUAUCGAGAGGAACACCUGCGGCGAAGGCGGGUUGCUGGGCUGACACUGACGCUGAAGUGCGAAAGCUAGGGGAGCGAACGGG
rnacentral:rRNA from 1 species